rnacentral:lncRNA from 1 species
GUUUGGGGUUGGAAGUUAAAACAGACUGGAUGAACUGACAUGAGGUUUGGGGUUGGUAGUUAAAACAGACUGGAUGAACUGACAUGAGGUUUGGGGUUGGUAGUUAAAACAGACUGGAUGAACUGACAUGAGGUUUGGGGUUGGAAGUUAAAACAGACUGGAUGAACUGACAUGAGGUUUGGGGUUGGUAGUUAAAACAGACUGGAUGAACUGACAUGAGGUUUGGGGUUGGUAGUUAAAACAGACUGGAUGAACUGACACGAGGUUUGGGGUUGGAAGUUAAUACAGACUGGAUGAACUGACAUGAGGUUUGGGGUUGGUAGUUAAAACAGACUGGAUGAACUGACAUGAGGUUUGAGGUUGGUAGUUAAAACAGACUGGGUGAACUGACAUGAGGUUUGGGGUUGGAAGUUAAAACAGACUGGAUGAACUGACAUGAGGUUUGGGGUUGGUAGUUAAAACAGACUGGAUGAACUGACAUGAGGUUUGGGGUUGGAAGUUAAUACAGACUGGAUGAACUGACAUGAGGUUUGGGGUUGGUAGUUAAAACAGACUGGAUGAACUGACAUGAGGUUUGAGGUUGGUAGUUAAAACAGACUGGGUGAACUGACAUGAGGUUUGGGGUUGGAAGUUAAAACAGACUGGAUGAACUGACAUGAGGUUUGGGGUUGGUAGUUAAAACAGACUGGGUGAACUGACAUGAGGUAUGGGGUUGGUAGUUAAAACAGACUGUGUGAACUGACAUGAGGUAUGGGGUUGGUAGUUAAAACAGACUGUGUGAACUGACAUGAGGUAUGGGGUUGGUAGUUAAAACAGACUGGGUGAACUGACAUGAGGUAUGGGGUUGGAAGUUAAAACAGACUGGAUGAACUGACAUGCCCCUGCAUCCUCCCAGAAAAUAUAUGAAGCCAACACAGACAGUAAACCCUUCAGAACACAUACAAUUAAAUUAUCCGCUUAUAAAUUCAAAACAUAAAUAACCGAUGUGAGGGCACUUGCAAAUUGUCAUACUGUAUAAAUAACCACCACUAUCAAUAUAACUCAGUGUUUAUCACCAGGAUAUACAUAAACAUCUGUACUGUAGGGUGGGGUGGGGUCUAUACCGUAGGGUAGGGUGGGGUCUUUACUGUAGGGUAGGGUGGGGUCUUUACUGUAGGGUAGGGUGGGGUCUUUACUGUAGGGUAGGGUGGGGUCUAUACUGUAGGGUAGGGUGGGGUCUAUACUGUAGGGUAGGGUGGGGUCUUUACUGUAGGGUAGGUUGGGGUCUAUACUGUAGGGUAGGGUGGGGUCUUUACUGUAGGGUAGGGUGGGGUCUAUACUGUAGGGUAGAGUGGGGUCUAUACUGUAGGGUGGGGUGGGGUCUUUAAUGUUGGAUAGAGUGGGGUCUUUACUGUAGGGUAGGGUGGGGUCUUUACUGUAGGGUAGGGUAUGGUCUUUACUGUAGGGUAGGGUGGGGUCUAUACUGUAGGGUAGGGUAGGGUCUUUACUGUAGGGUAGGGUGGGGUCUAUACUGUAGGGUAGGGUGGGGGUAAGUUUGGGUCUUUACUGUUGAAUAGGGUGGGUCUAUACUGUAGGGUAGAGUGGGGUCUAUGCUGUAGGGUAGGGUGGGGUCUAUACUGUAGGGUAGGGUGGGGUCUAUACUGUAGGGUAGAGUGGGUCUAUACUGUAGGGUAGGUUGGGGUCUAUACUGUAGGGUGGGGUGGGGUCUAUACUGUAGGGUGGGGUGUAUACUGUAGGGUAGGGUGGGUCUAUACUGUAGGGUAGGGUGGGGUCUUUACUGUAGGGUGGUGUCUAUACUGUAGGGUAGGGUAGGGUGAAUACUGUAGGGUAGGUUGGGGUCUUUACUGUAGGGUAGAGUGGGGUCUAUACUGUAGGGUAGGGUAGGGUCUAUACUGUAGGGUAGGGUGGGUCUAUACUGUAGGGUCUAUACUGUAGGGUAGAGUGGGGUCAAUACUGUAGGGUAGAGUGGGGUCUAUAUUGUAGAGUAGGGUGGGUCUAUACUGUAGGGUAUGUUGGGGUCUAUACUGUAGGGUAGGGUGGGGUCUUUACUGUAGGGUAGGGUGGGGUCUUUACUGUAGGGUAGGGUGGGGUCUAUACUGUAGGGUAGGGUGGGGUCUAUACUGUAGGGUAGAGUGGGGUCUAUACUGUAGGGUGGGGUGGGGUCUUUAAUGUUGGAUAGAGUGGGGUCUAUACUGUAGGGUAGGUUGGGGUGUAUGCUGUAGGGUAGGGUAGAGUCUUUACUGUAGGGUAGGUUGGGGUCUAUACUGUAGGGUAGGGUGGGGUCUAUACUGUAGGGUAGGGUGGGUCUAUACUGUAGGGUAGGUUGGGGUCUAUACUGUAGGGUAGUUUGUGGUUUACACUGCAGGGUAGUUUGUGGUUUACACUGUAGGGUAGGGUGGGGUCUUUACUGUAGGGUGGGGUGGGGUCUUUUCUGUAGGGUAGGGUGGGGUCUAUACUGUAGGGUAGAGUGGGGUCUUUACUGUAGGGUAGAGUGGGGUCUAUACUGUAGGGUAGGGUGGGGUCUUUACUGUAGGGUAGGGUGGUGUCUAUACUGUAGGGUAGGGUGGGGUCUAUACUGUAGGGUAGAGUGGGGUCUAUACUGUAGGGUAGGGUGGUGUCUAUACUGUAGGGUAGAGUGGGGUCUAUACUGUAGGGUAGGGUGGUGUCUAUACUGUAGGGUAGAUGGGGUCUAUACUAUAGGGUAGGGUGGUGUCUAUACUGUAGGGUAGAGUGGGGUCUAUACUGUAGGGUAGGGUGGUGUCUAUACUGUAGGGUAGGGUGGGGUCUAUACUGUAGGGU